ACAUCCAGAGAACUUAGCAGAGAUGCUUUGGUGCCUUCGGGAACUCUGAGACAGGUGCUGCAUGGCUGUCGUCAGCUCGUGUUGUGAAAUGUUGGGUUAAGUCCCGCAACGAGCGCAACCCUUAUCCUUUGUUGCCAGCGGCUCGGCCGGGAACUCAAAGGAGACUGCCGGUGAUAAACCGGAGGAAGGUGGGGAUGACGUCAAGUCAUCAUGGCCCUUACGGCCAGGGCUACACACGUGCUACAAUGGCGCAUACAAAGAGAAGCGACCUCGCGAGAGCAAGCGGACCUCAUAAAGUGCGUCGUAGUCCGGAUUGGAGUCUGCAACUCGACUCCAUGAAGUCGGAAUCGCUAGUAAUCGUAGAUCAGAAUGCUACGGUGAAUACGUUCCCGGGCCUUGUACACACCGCCCGUCACACCAUGGGAGUGGGUUGCAAAAGAAGUAGGUAGCUUAACCUUCGGGAGGGCGCUUACCACUUUGUGAUUCAUGACUGGGGUGAAGUCGUAACAAGGUAAGCGUACGUGU
rnacentral:rRNA from 1 species